rnacentral:other from 1 species
GAGUCGCACACUGAAACGAACAUCAGGAUGAUGUUGUUUCGAGACGGGAUACACCGGAUGGUGCUUCACGGACAGGCUUCUGGAUGAAGUAAAAGGGAAAAUGCAGGAACGCAUUAAAGGACACCUCCGGAGGGAGAACGAGAGCCGGUCAGGAUGUUCGGUGGAUCAGGAAGAUCAAGGACACGCUUUACGGAUGAGGCUAAUCCACAUCGGGGUGGUGUGGGCAGGAUGCGCUAGUUUAAGGAUGAACAAGGGUCAGGAGACCCGCAGGAAAAGUUGUCAAGGAUGAGCAGGGAGCACGAAAAGUAGCUGGAUUGCUGCGAAACGAACCGGGAGCACUGUUUUUACAGUGCUCCCUUUUUAUUCU